GUGCAUUCUCUAAAGCUACCUUUUUGCCAAUGUGACAUAUCUAAUCACCGAGCCACGUGUCUUUCCCGAGUAACAUCCCAAUUUACUAGGCCACGUGCAUCCUCAAGGUGAUUUACCAACUCACUUUCGAUACUAACAACCGAUAUCCGACCGAUUCUCAAUCACAGUGCCAAAAUUGCAUUAUUUAAUAACAUACUUAAAAAUGCACCAUUAAAUCAAUUCGACACGAAUUAAAGAUCAAAUAAAUAAACGGACUGCUCCACGACCAUCAGCACGAAAUUCCGGUCACUGGCCAUCCCAGUUGAAUUUCCGGAAAAUAAAUAAUUAAAUAAUUAAUUUCGAAAAUUAAAUAAAUAAAUACAAUAAAUUCAAUUUAGCACAAUAUAAAGCUCAAUUAAAUAAACGGACUGCGCCACGAUCAUCAGCAUAAAAUCCCGGUCACUGGCCAUCCCAGUUGAAUUUCCAGAAAAUAAAUAAUUAAAUAAUUAAUUUCGAAAAUUAAUAUUUAAUUCCUAAAAAUACCACUUAGGCCCGAAUCGCUUAAUUAAUACCCGAUAAGGGACGGGAAAAAUCCCAAGAAGCAUCCAAUAAAUACUACAUGCAAUUCUCUAUCUAAUUACACUAAUUACAUCACUAAUAUACAAAGCAAUUAACUAAUAAUCCCUAAUCCAUUCUAAUCUAACAACCUAAUUACACUUAAUUAACACUAAUCAACCUUUAAGUAUAAUUAGCAAACUAAGAAGGCAUUAGUGAGUAAAACUCACUCAAAACAACGGGCUCGACGCGAGGAUCGACUUUCCUCAAAGCGGGCCGAGCAUCCGGGCUCGGGAAAACGGCCAAAACGGGCCAAAACCCUCUGCGAUACCCAUUUUCUACACUCACUGAUCGCUGCUGGAAGGGGUGGAUCCGGGGCUGAUUCGAGCUAGACAAGGCCGGUGGAGGGCGAGGGGACUCCGACGGGUCGAAGUGGCGGCGCACGGUGGCCGGAGGUGGCUGAACCGUGGCUUGUACUGGCCAAAAUGGAGCUGAACAGAGGCGGAACAGGGGUUGGACAGCAGCUCUGGAACAGCGAGCUAGGCGAGAGGGAGACCGAGCUAAGCGGAGAAGCGGCGGAGCGCACGGCGUCGCGCGGGCGGCGGUGCGACAGCUCCGGUCCAGCAACGCCAGCUGCUGCCCCAACUCCGGUGUCCUCCCAGAUCUGGAACCCCGAGCAACGAACGGAGGGGAAGACAGAGGUGCCGACGGCGGCUGGAAUGGGUGAGGGAGAGGCGGAGAUGAACGACGGAGCGGCGGAGCGGGUGAUGCGCCGGCGAGGACGGCUUGCGGCGUGAGGCGGUGUGGAGUAACGAUGGCAAGCUGCUGUCUCUGUUUCUGCUUCGUUCGAACCAGAGGAGGGAGAGGGGGCGGAGAUGCGCGGACGGCAGCACGGCGGCGAGCUCAGGUGCGUGAGCAGCUCCGGUGCUUGCAGACGUGCAACGACGACGGCGGAAGGCAGCGACUACAGCUCAGUCUUCGCUGGUCUUCGGCUCCCAUGGAGUUUUGAAGAAAAAGAAAAAGAUGGGGGAGGAGUUCGGUCGACGAAGGAGGAGAGAGGGGAGGAAGAAAAACUCAAUUUCCCUUUCUUUUCUCUCACUCUCUCUCUCUCUUAGGUUAGCCACACAUGGCCACCACCAGCUGUCUCCCACUCUUCAAUUUUUGACAAACAUGCCCCCUUCUAGAAGCAUUUAGGUAGGCUAAAGAGUUGGGUUUAUGGGCAUACGAAUUUUGCUAGGGUUUCUUUCCAAAUUGAACCUUAAUCCCACUUGAAUCAAAUCAAUUUGACCCCUAUAAUUUCAUUCAAUAUUUCAUCGAUCAAAUUUGUACUUUUUCUUAUCAGUAUAGCCCACUUGUAUCCCGAAUUCACAAUCUCUGGCUUCAACUGAACAAAACGGCCCUAUUUAUCCAGUCAAAUUAAAACCCAAAAAUCUGGAUGUCACAACUCUUCCCCUCUUAUAAAAAUUUCGUCCUCGAAAUUUAAACCUUUACCAAUCCUUAUACAAAAGGUGGGGGUAUUGUCGUCUCAUCGAGUCUCACUUUUUCCCACGCUAAUCCUUCGGUCUUGUGGUGUUGUCCGAUCAUUUUGACUAAGGAGGUCAUUUUGGUACACAAAUUCUGCUCUUUCUGAACCAACAACUGAACUGAGCUUCUCAUAUAUGACACUCCAUCAUUCACCUCUGAUCUCUUCUUCUCGACUCCCUAAUGAACCUUCGAACCUCAACGAUUCAAGCUUUCUGACAGUUCUGAGUAGUCUUUACUCUGACAUUGAUCUGACAACUGUAAACACCGAUUUCUGAGCUGACUUAGGACUGGUGAUUUUCUGAUUUCUGAUCUCAUCCCAACCGACUGAAAUCCUGUACACUUUGCUCUGCACUGAUUAAAAGGAAACUAUCUGAUUGAUCUGCUGAAACUGGGAACCUCUGGUCAAGAUCUAAUAUAACUCUAGCACUGAUCUUGUCAACCGCAAUCACUGACUACUGUACUGACUUUGGCCUGAAAUCUUCUUCACUUUCUUUUCACCACUGAAAUUCUGUACCCUCUUCUAUAACAUUGCUUAAGAAAGAACCCUCUGAAAGCUUUGCCAAAUUGAUAAUCUCUGAGCUAGAUUCAAAAUAUAAUUUAUCCCCGGCACUCCAUGCCGGCGAAUUAUCUGAUGCACACAUACUUCGGUAUACCCACUCUGAUAAGAUAGAAUCUUCAAUUUCUGAAAUCGAACUUAGAUUGGCGGUUAAUUUCAUUCCGACAUGCUUUUAGUGUGACCUAGGCUACUGGGUAGUGUUCAGAGCUUUUUAGGACAAUUGACCCGUGGUCGAUUUUCUUCGAGCAACAAUAAACCCACUCGACACAUUGACGACUCUCAAUUGUCGUGAAAAUCUCAAAUUCAAAUACGGACACAGGGUACCAAACCGACAGUAAAGUCAAAUUAGUGCCAGUCGACGAGAGUUUUCCAAUUUAGUGGGGUCACCCACGAUUGGUCACUUAUCUCAGUCGAGCCAACCUAUCUCCGAUCUUAAUUCGAUUUUUAACUGUGCCGUAAUGACCUCUAAAGAUGAGCACGGUCAAGAAGUCGAUUCAUGGUCGAAUUCUCAGUCUAUCUGCCUUAAAGUUCUUAAUAGCCUACCCAGCUAGUCUAGUUAUCUCGUGAGUGGCCAACUUAGAGAAAAACACUGUAAUUGCGUCGAUGAAAUGCCCAAUUUAUCUAAUCGAAAUCAAAUAUCGAAAUCUGGAUGUUACACACUCAAAACAAGAUCUAUUCGUACUGUACCAAAGUGGAUCAACUCCAUCUAUCGAUCGACCACUAUUCUCAAAUGGUAUCAGUAAUCCCCUGAAUCCUUAGUAAGACUAUCACAAUGUUCCAUUGUGAUAUAUUUCCAUUUCCACUUGGGACUCUCAAGUGAUGGUAAAAAUUCUCCCGAUUCACAUUACCGAGCUUCCACUUACUGACACUUUUGACACUUGCAACCUACUCAGCAAUAUCUAUCUUCAUAUCAGCUUACUAAUCUAGUUGAUGCCGAUUCUGAUUUACUUGCACCAUCUGGUCAAAACUGCAAUACUAUAGUGAACUUCCGACAAGAUCUUUUCCCUGAGUGCUACACUGUCAAGGGUAUUCAAUCACUCAUGGAACCUGAACUUUCCAUUCUCAUAAAUCUUAAAGUCAGAUUCCUUCUUACCAGUAUCCUCUUAUAAGAUCUUCUGAACAUCUUUGUCUGCCAACUAGGCGCCGAUUCUAACUUGAACAUUUGGUUCAAUCUUGAGGGUGGCUAUAAAAUUCAAAAGGUAGCCUGCCUCAAUUUUGAAAACCAAGCUUCGAAGUCUUUUCAAGUAAAGUCUACACUUUAGCCAGUCUAUGCACGAUUGAAGACUCUCGGCUCAACACAUUAAUGACUCAUUUCGUUCCUCCAAGGUGAUACCCAAUAUCACUAUUUUAGUUCUGCCAAAAUUCUAGUUCACGACACCGCUUCGUAUUCCACUUAUUGGGUCUCAACUGGCGGAACGGUAAUGCAACAAUCUUCUCAUGUUGUAUCAAUGCAUACCUCGCCUCUACAAGACACAUCACUAAAGAUUCCAUGCUUUCCAGGGCCAAAUGAAAAGUUUAGCACAAGUACGAUAGUCAGUCCUUACUUAAGCUCUGGAAACUAUCCUCGUACUUGUCUAUGCUGAUGAAUUUCUCUUCUUUCUUAAGAGAUCAAGCCCCCGAUGGUACUGAUGCUGAAAAUUCUUUCACAAACCUUCUGUAGUAAUCUGUCCAAUCACCACAGCUUCUGAUCUCUGACAUUGAUGUCGGUCUCGGUCCAUAAACAACUGAUUCAAUCUUGGAUGGGUCCAUGAAAAUUCCUUAACUUGUAAUCACAUGACCAUUCUUAAGGGCUCUCAUGAUCCUCAUCACUUAAUGAACACCCUAGAAUGUUACUACACCACAUGAUCACCAUUGAUCUAGAUAUUCUUUGAAUACUCGGUUUGUCAAGUCUAUGACAACGGCUGGAGCGUUCGUCAAAUCAAAUGGCUUUACAUUAUUCUCACAGGGGCUAAAUCAAGUGCGAAGUGUUGUCUUCAGUAUAACCUCCUUCCUAGUUCUCAACUAAAGAUAACCUGUCGUCAAGCCGAUCCUUGAAGACAUCAACACUCUUUAUAACAAAUUACCCAAUUAAGUUGACAAUGGUUGAUGCAUGAUUGCAAUGAACCAUUUUCAUUUCUCUUUCCACAAAACUGAUGUUCCUUAAAGCGAUGCACUAAUAUGUAUGAAUUCCUCAUUCAUCAAUCUUCACAUCCGUACCUUCGGUUCUAUCCAUUCAAACAACAAUAACUAGUGAUUCCCCUUUCUUCCACUUAUUUCAAUAAACUAAAGUUCUCCAAACUUCAUCAAAACUCUACUACGAUACUCUGAUAGAAUUUUCCCCAAAACAUUCUUCCUCUGUCUAAUGCCAGGUCGGUUCCAUUUUUUAUCUUCUCACCAUACCUGGAUACUGAAUUCAUCCAGGUUUCUUCCACAAUUUCGACACCUAUCAGGUGAGUCUUCUACCUCUUGUCACGUGCUAGGAUGCACUAUUUCUUAUACAAGAGAUCUAUCCCAGAAAUUCCACAGUGCGUUCUAUGGCGCACUUCUCCUAAACUGUUCUACCAAUAGUGACAGCAGUAACUGUUGUCAAGAUUCCAUCUUCUUAUGCGGAUACACCAUAAAUCACUGUCCGUACUGGCGACACUUACCACAAUUUCUUGCCCUCAGAAUACACAAGACUAAUCUAUAUCAUCUUCCAUAGAACAACAUGUUACGUUUGUCUAAAUGCUAACCUGACUAUUCCACCAUUCCUAUUGAGUGGAACAAAAUACUCUUCCCUAGUCUUUUCCCAUGACCGAAUUCCCAGUCUGCUUGCGCUAAAUCUUGACUCAAAAAUCGAAAUUUGUUCCCUGACUAUCCUUCCAGGUUGGACCUCAACAAAGGUAGCAACAACAACAACUUGAUCCUGAUCUUACCGGCUCAUACAGAUCCCAAGAAACACUUGCAUCAAAUCAAUCUUAUCGGGCUUAGGAUCAAUCACUGCUGCUACACUAGUACCAACCUGCGAUGGCACUCUUACGCUCAAGCUGGCCAGAGUCAACACUCUGCCUUCCGAAUCCACAACGAUUAAAAGCAAUCGAUUCACACAUAACAAACAAUUCUACCAAUCAGCUAUCAAACACAUGCACCAGUCAUGAAUUUAAAGGCCUUUCCUACUACUAUCCCAUAGGUCAUCGCACCUUAUCACUCCAAUACUUAACCAUUGCUCUAAUACCACAAAAAGGGGAUGUCACGCCCCGACACUCAGAGCACGCACACAUCCCUUACUUUUGGUCGAUUUUAAAAUGCGAUAUCCCAGGACUAUGUAUCGCCGACCCUUUCAUUUAUAUAUGCACAUGUGGAAGCAGUUAUAAUUCCCCAGACAAUAAAGCAAUGGGAUAGAAAAGCAGGCCAUACAUUUCUCUUACUGAAAAUUCACAACUACAUCUUUUUACAUGCAAACAAGGUCUGACAAGACAGGAUAGGAUUUCGGUCCUCAUCCGGGUCGUACUCGAUGUCAUACUCGGGGUCCUCCUCCAUGUACUCCUCUUUGGGUUCCUCAACAGGGAUCUCCUCAUCAGAUUCAUGCUCCUUAGGCUCCUCAUCCAGGUCCUGAAAUGGUUAUUCAAUAACCACUGAGACCACGUCUCAGCAAGUUCUACUUCCUAAGACCCGAUUAGUAAACUAAUACACCUUAGGGCUGCCUAUGCACAACAUGAAUUAAAAGACUUACCUUAGCCUCAUAUUCCACCUGCAUAUUAGUACAGAUCAAAUAGGUACACAAGCAAUCACAUCACAGAUCGAAGCAUCGAUCUAAUCGACUUAGUCGAUUUCACAUCAGGAAGACCAAUCACGAUCAUCUCCCUUCAAUCAUUCAAUUCAACACAUCAAACCAAGGCAAUGAAUCACAUCAAGACACACUCAGAUCGAAUCAUCGAUCAAUCGACCUAGUCGAUUACAAGUCAGUCGAAUCAUUUCUAGGUCAUUAAUCCAACACCAAGCAAUUCCUUAGAUUUAGUGGCUUUACGGUCCCACCCGACCCUCUCGAGAACUAGUGGCUUUUCGGUCCCACCCGACCCUCUCGAGAACUAGUGGCUUUACUGUCCCACCCGACCCUCUCGAGAACUAGUGGCUUUACGGUCCCAACCGACCCUCUCGAGAACUAGUGGCUUUACAGUCCCACCCGACCCUCUCAAGAUGCCAAACUAUGUCACCGAGCCACGUGCAUUCUUCAGGAAGACAUACCGAGUCUUCGAGCCACGUGCAUUCUCUAAAGCUACCUUUUUGCCAAGGUGACAUAUCUAAUCACCGAGUCACGUGUCUUUCCCGAGUAACAUCCCAAUUUACUGGGCCACAUGCAUCCUCAAGGUGAUUUACCAACUCACUUUCGAUACUAACAACCGAUAUCCGACCGAUUCUCAAUCACAGUGCCAAAAUUGCAUUAUUUAAUAACAUACUUAAAAAUGCACCAUUAAAUCAAUUCGACACGAAUUAAAGAUCAAAUAAAUAAACGGACUGCUCCACGACCAUCAGCACGAAAUUCCGGUCACUGGCCAUCCCAGUUGAAUUUCCGGAAAAUAAAUAAUUAAAUAAUUAAUUUCGAAAAUUAAAUAAAUAAAUACAAUAAAUUCAAUUUAGCACAAUAUAAAACUCAAUUAAAUAAACGGACUGCGCCACGAUCAUCAGCAUAAAAUCCCGGUCACUGGCCAUCCCAGUUGAAUUUCCAGAAAAUAAAUAAUUAAAUAAUUAAUUUCGAAAAUUAAUAUUCAAUUCCUAAAAAUACCACUUAGGCCCGAAUCGCUUAAUUAAUGCCCGAUAAGGGACGGGAAAAAUCCCAAGAAGCAUCCAAUAAAUACUACAUGCAAUUCUCUAUCUAAUUACACUAAUUACAUCACUAAUAUACAAAGCAAUUAACUAAUAAUCCCUAAUCCAUUCUAAUCUAACAACCUAAUUACACUUAAUUAACACUAAUCAACCUUUAAGUAUAAUUAGCAAACUAAGAAGGCAUUAGUGAGUAAAACUCACUCAAAACGACGGGCUCGACGUGAGGAUCGACUUUCCUCAAAGCGGGCCGAGCAUCCGGGCUCGGGAAAACGGCCAAAACGGGCCAAAACCCUCUGCGAUACCCAUUUUCUGCACUCACUGAUGGCUGCUGGAAGGGGUGGAUCCGGGGCUGAUUCGAGCUAGACAAGGCCGGUGGAGGGCGAGGGGACUCCGACAGGUCGAAGUGGCGGCGCACGGUGGCCGGAGGUGGCUGAACCGUGGCUUGUACUGGCCAAAAUGGAGCUGAACAGAGGCGGAACAGGGGUUGGACAGCAGCUCUGGAACAGCGAGCUAGGCGAGAGGGAGACCGAGCUGAGCGGAGUAGCGGCGGAGCGCACGGCGUCGCGCGGGCGGCGGUGCGGCAGCUCCGGUCCAGCAACGCCAGCUGCUGCCCCAACUCCGGUGUCCUCCCAGAUCUGGAACCCCGAGCAGCGAACGGAGGGGAAGACAGAGGUGCCGACGGCGGCUGGAAUGGGUGAGGGAGAGGCGGAGAUGAACGACGGAGCGGCGGAGCGGGUGAUGCGCCGGCGAGGACGGCUUGCGGCGUGAGGCGGUGUGGAGUAACGACGGCAAGCUGCUGUCUCUGUUUCUGCUUCGUUCGAACCAGAGGAGGGAGAGGGGGCGGAGAUGCGCGGACGGCAGCACGGCGGCGAGCUCAGGUGCGUGAGCAGCUCCGGUGCUUGCGGGCGUGCAACGACGACGGCGGAAGGCAGCGACUGCAGCUCAGUCUUCGCUGGUCUUCGGCUCCCAUGGAGUUUUGAAGAAAAAGAAAAAGAUGGGGGAGGAGUUCGGUCGACGAAGGAGGAGAGAGGGGAGGAAGAAAAACUCAAUUUCCCUUUCUUUUCUCUCACUCUCUCUCUCUCUUAGGUCAGCCGCACAUUUUUGACAAACAUGCCCCCUUCUAGAAGCAUUUAGGUAGGCUAAAGAGUUGGGUUUAUGGGCAUACGAAUUUUACUAGGGUUUCUUUCCAAAUUGAACCUUAAUCCCACUUGAAUCAAAUCAAUUUGACCCCUAUAAUUUCAUUCAAUAUUUCAUCGAUC
rnacentral:lncRNA from 1 species